rnacentral:rRNA from 1 species
GUAAGGAAUAUUUGGACAAUGGGCGAAAGCCUGAUCCAGCCAUGCCGCGUGAAGGAUUAAGGUCCUCUGGAUUGUAAACUUCUUUUAUUUGGGACGAAAAAAGGGAAUUCUUUCCCACUUGACGGUACCAGAUGAAUAAGCACCGGCUAACUCCGUGCCAGCAGCCGCGGUAAUACGGAGGGUGCAAGCGUUAUCCGGAUUCACUGGGUUUAAAGGGUGCGUAGGCGGGUAGGUAAGUCAGUGGUGAAAUCCUGGAGCUCAACUCCAGAACUGCCAUUGAUACUAUCUAUCUUGAAUAUUGUGGAGGUAAGCGGAAUAUGUCAUGUAGCGGUGAAAUGCUUAGAUAUGACAUAGAACACCCAUUGCGAAGGCAGCUUACUACGCAUAUAUUGACGCUGAGGCACGAAAGCGUGGGGAUCAAACAGGAUUAGAUACC